UACGUAGGGUGCGAGCGUUAAUCGGAAUUACUGGGCGUAAAGCGUGCGCAGGCGGUUCGCCAAGUCAGGUGUGAAAUCCCCGGGCUUAACCUGGGAAUUGCGCUUGAAACUAGCGGGCUUGAGUGUGGCAGAGGGGGGUGGAAUUCCACGUGUAGCAGUGAAAUGCGUAGAGAUGUGGAGGAACACCGAUGGCGAAGGCAGCCCCCUGGGUCAACACUGACGCUCAUGCACGAAAGCGUGGGGAGCAGACAGG
rnacentral:rRNA from 1 species